CUACGGGACGCUGCAGUGAGGAAUAUCGCACAAUGGGGGAAACCCUGAUGCAGCAACGCCGCGUGGAGGAUGACGCAUUUCGGUGUGUAAACUCCUUUUAUCAGAGAAGAAGAUGACGGUAUCUGAUGAAUAAGCUCCGGCUAACUCCGUCGCCAGCAGCCGCGGUAAUACGGAGGGAGCAAGCGUUAUUCGGAAUCACUGGGCGUAAAGGAGGCGUAGGCGGGUUAGAAAGUCAGGUGUGAAAGCCAACAGCUCAACUGUUGAACAGCACUUGAAACUCCUAACCUAGAGUAUGGAAGGGGCAGAUGGAAUUAGUGGUGUAGGGGUAAAAUCCGUAGAUAUCACUAGGAAUACCGAAAGCGAAAGCGAUCUGCUGGGACAUUACUGACGCUGAGGCGUGAAAGCGUGGGGAGCAAACAGGAUUAGAUACCCCAGUAGUC
rnacentral:rRNA from 1 species